CCAAUAGCGUAUAUUAAAGUUGUUGCAGUUAAAAAGCUCGUAGUUGAAUUUCGGGAUUAGUAAGUUGGUCGUGCCUCCGGUAUGUACUGGCUUUACUGGUUCCUCCUUCUUGAAGAACUGUAAUGUCAUUAAUUUGGUGUUGCAGGGAAACAGGACUGUUACUUUGAAAAAAUUAGAGUGUUUAAAGCAGGCUAACGCUUGAAUACAUAAGCAUGGAAUAAUGAGAUAGGACGUUUGAUCCUAUUUUGUUGGUUUCUAGGAUUGACGUAAUGAUUAAUAGGGAUAGUUGGGGGCAUUAGUAUUCAAUUGUCAGAGGUGAAAUUCUUGGAUUUAUUGAAGACUAACUACUGCGAAAGCAUUUGCCAAGGAUGUUUUCAUUAAUCAAGAACGAAAGUUAGGGGAUCGAAGACGAUCAGAUACCGUCGUAGUCUUAACCAUAAACUAUGCCGACUAGGGAUCGGAUGAUGUUAAUUUUUUAAUGACUCAUUCGGCGCCUUACG
rnacentral:rRNA from 1 species